CUAAAUAUAAACGUUGUACCGUAGACAGCAGGCGCUGAAAAGCUUAAUUUCCUGCCGAGGUGUGUGAAUAGAAAACAAUCACCGUUGUAUGAUUGUUUCAUCGAAAACAAAACCUCCAUGUCUGCAUGGGGGUUUUUUUCAUGUAUUG
rfam:Sediminibacillus halophilus strain CGMCC 1.6199 genome assembly, contig: Ga0079860_111